GACAGAGGGGGCAAGCGUUGUCCGGAUUUAUUGGGCGUAAAGAGCGUGUAGGCGGCCAUGUAGGUCCGUUGUGAAAACUCGAGGCUCAACCUCGAGACGCCGAUGGAAACCAUGUGGCUAGAGUCCGGAAGAGGAGAGUGGAAUUCCUGGUGUAGCGGUGAAAUGCGCAGAUAUCAGGAAGAACACCCGUGGCUAAGGCGGCUCUCUAGUACGGUACUGACGCUGAGACGCGAAAGCGUGGGGAGCGAACAGG
rnacentral:rRNA from 1 species